rnacentral:lncRNA from 1 species
CAGAUGUAAAGGAGAAGAUGGUCUCCACAAGGCAACUCAUUUAGUGCCUGGACAUAUCAGGCUGUCAAGAAGUGGUGGUGAUUGUCCUUACAACUCUGUUGGGACUAAUAUUUGAAGAUAAAAUGCUCGUUAUUUUGAAGAUUUUCUUUUUAAUUGGACUUUCUUUGAGCAGAUUUGUUUCUGUAGUGCUGUAGGAUAAAAUGCAAUAUGAUGGGAUAUAAAAUAUGGCAACUAAGCACUGGUCACAUGCCCAGGACAGACACUGAAAUUAUACAUCUACUCAUGAAUAUUGAAAUGAAAAUCUGGCUAUGUAAAAUGUAUUUACAUUUAUGUAUUUUUUUCACGAGCAAAACAGAUAAGAUGGAAAGUAACAAUAAGCAGAAACUAAUUAGCAGCACAAUGUCAGAAGUGGAGACGUUUGAGAUUCUGUGCUAUAAUAUAUCUUCUGCACUGUGAAUUUUAACUAAAACAAGAGGCUGUGCUGAAAACAACAUCUCCCUCUGGUCAAUUCAGGGGAAUGGUCAUUCUGAAAAGGCUGCUGUUAUCACAAGAUGGGAUAAGCUUAACCCAUCAGGAUCAGCUGUUUAUGUCCCCUCCUAAAAGAAGUGCACAUAGAAGAUAUCUAUGGCAAGUGGAACAGAGGAUGUUGUUUAAAGGAGGGUUCCUUCUAAUGCUACCUCCUGGCAAUGACUGUGAUUGGCAGUCACUGGUCAGAGUUGGAACUUCCAAAUUGAGUUUAUAGCCCAUUUUUGUCUAAAGUCCCCAGGUGUCAAUCACUAUUUGCCAAAACAAACAAGCAAAAAUAAAGUUGAGUUUCUUUUUAUUUUAUUUAAAAAACACAAUCAAAUGAACAUUCUAGGACUGAAACAACACAAUAUCUGAAAUUAGAAAUACAUUACACGGGUUUAACAGCAGACUAGACAUAGAUUACAAAAUCAUUAGAAAACAUCCAAACAGAAUACAAAGAGAAUAACGAACAAGUUUUAAAAAUAGAGCAUAAAAGUCAUAUGAGAUCAAACAAAAUACCUACAUGAUUUUAAUUGUAAUACCAGAAGAAAAGAGUAAGAAAAUGGAAUGGAGGUCAUAAUUAAAUAAGGGGGCUAGGGUUGUGGCUCAGUGGUUGAGUGCUUGUCUUGCAUGUGUGAGGCACUGGGUUCAAUCUUCAGCACCACAUAAAAAUAAAUAAACAAAAUAAAAGUAUUUGUUCAUCUAUGACUAAAAAAAAUUUUUUUAAAGAAAAAUAAGAGCCAAGAAUUUUUCAAAACUAAUGGAAGGCAUUGAUCCACAGAGUCAAGUACUUUCAUGAAACCCUUCCAGGAUAAAACAAAAUAGAGUGAACAAACGAAACCAACCAACCAAAAAUCUCAUAGGAAUAUCAUAAACAAUUAAAAUCCAAAACUAUUAGGAAAUCUUAAAAUCAUCUAGAAGAAAGACACAUACAGUCAAAGAAACAAUAAUAAGAUUGGUAAAUACUUUGUGGAAACUAUAAGACAAUGGAAUUACAUCUCUGAAGUGCUGAGAGGGAAAAACAAAUAAACUUGGCAAUGCAGAAAAAAUAAUAAAAAUAAAUGUGAAAUAAAAAUUUCUUCAAAAAUAAAAUUAAAAUUUAAAAAUAGGAGCUGGAGUUAGAGAGACCAGGGAUAAACUCUUAGUUCUAUUAUAUUUUCACCCUUAGCAAAGUAUUGCCCCUCUACAUCCCCAAAAUAAAAAUAGAAAUAAAAAAAUCUUUCAAAAAUAAAUGUGAAAGAAAAAAUUUAUUCAGACCAGCUGAGGACAGUCAUCACUAGUA